UACGAGAGGCCCAAACGUUAUUCGGAAUCACUGGGCUUAAAGAGUUCGUAGGCGGUCUAGAAAGUUGGGUGUGAAAGCCCUCGGCUCAACCGAGGAACUGCGCUCAAAACUACUAGACUUGAGGGAGAUAGAGGUGAGCGGAACUGAUGGUGGAGCGGUGAAAUGCGUUGAUAUCAUCAGGAACACCGGAGGCGAAGGCGGCUCACUGGGUCUCUACUGACGCUGAGGAACGAAAGCUAGGGGAGCAAACGGGAUUAGAAACCCCCGUAGUCC
rnacentral:rRNA from 1 species